GGCCUAUCAGGUAGUUGGUGGGGUGAAGGCCUACCAAGCCGACGACGGGUAGCGGGUCUGAGAGGAUGACCCGCUCGAGUGGGACUGAGACACGGCCCACACACCUACGGGUGGCAGCAGUUGGGAAUCUUGCACAAUGGGGGAAACCCUGAUGCAGCGACGCCGCGUGGAGGAUGACGGGUCUAGGCCUGUAAACUCCUUUUACCAGGAAAGACUUAGGACGGUACCUGGUGAAUAAGCACCGGCUAACUACGUGCCAGCAGCCGCGGUAAGACGUAGGGUGCAAGCGUUGUCCGGAUUUACUGGGCGUAAAGGGCGCGUAGGCGGCUCGUUAAGUGUGAAGUGAAAUCCCUAGGGCUCAACCCAGGAACUGCUUUACAUACUGGUGGGCUUGAGGAUCGAAGAGGCUUGUGGAAUUCCUGGUGUAGCGGUGAAAUGCGUUGAUAUCAGGAGGAACACCCAUGGCGAAGGCAGCAAGCUGGUCGAUUCCUGACGCUGAGGCGCGAAAGCGUGGGUAGCA
rnacentral:rRNA from 1 species